GUUUCACAAUUCAUCCUCCCGUACUGUAAUUAAUAAUUUCAGAGUAGUUUUGAGGUGAUCUGUGAUGGCAGUACGAUCCGGGUCGGGUCGGGUCGGGCUAGGGAUUCGUAAUGAUAUCAUCUGCCGGAUUUUUGUUUCCGCCAUGCUUCCGCUUCUGUAGCUGUAUGCAUCUCUAUGAGGCAACUCGAAUCUGCAAGAAGUUGAAUCGUAGGGCUUAACUUGGCAGAACUUGGACUCGGGAUUAUGAUUGCACCUUAUGGAAAUCGAGGAACGCUACUCAAGUAAAAUGACCACUCCCUUCGCAAUCACGUCGUAAACAAACAUCUGGCGCAGAUCAGUCCGCUCAAGUGAAGUUUUUUUUUUUUUUUUUUUCUCCGAGCCUGUCUGAUUAUUUUAUUACAUGUUUUCACUUUCAAGGAAAAAAAGAAGUUUUUUCUCGAGUUUGGAAUUGAGUGUUGUGUAUGCGAAUGAUCGACUCUCAUCACUUGGUCCGAAUUUUCCAUUUUUUUUUGUUUUCCCAAAUGUAGAUCUGAUUUGAAUUUAGGCUGGAUGAAAAAUGCAAUGAAUUAGAUGGUCCUAUGGAUGGUCAAUCAUUCAUGGGUGCAUAAGUGGAGAUUCAGAUAAAAAUGUUACAUCGGAUAUCUUCUUAUGCCUCGUUUGGUUGGCGAUAUUAAUCAUUGUUAACUAUAUAA